GCGAGAAACCUUCACAAUGUGCGAAAGCGCGAUGAGGGGAUCCCAAGUGCUUGCUCGUAAGAGUAAGCUGUUUUUAUGUCUAAAACGCAUAGAGAGUAAGGGCUGGGUAAGACGGGUGCCAGCCGCCGCGGUAAUACCUGCAGCUCAAGUGGUGACCGCUAUUAUUGGGCCUAAAACAUUCGUAGCCGGUUUGGUAAAUGUCUGGGUAAAUCGUGUAGCUUAACUAUACGAAUUCCGGGUAGACUGCCAAACUUGAGACCGGGAGAAGCUAGAGGUACUCCUUGGGUAGAG
rnacentral:rRNA from 1 species